rnacentral:lncRNA from 1 species
GCAGGAAUUAGCUUGAAAAGCAAUGGUGUGGUCACCUGUAGAAUUGAUUUGGAGUGAGGCCCAGCAUAUCAGCAUAGAAACAAAAAUGAAAGAUAAAGUAGAACCAUUACAUUUUAUCACUUGAUCCUUUCCCUAAAAGAUUCUCCCAAUUGUCCUACAUUUUUUUUUUGUAAGGGAAGUGAGGCCCAACGUAUCAGCAUAGAAACAAAAAUGAAAGAUAAAGUAGAACCAUUAAAUUUUAUCACUUGAGCCUUUCCCUAAAAGAUUCUCCCAAUUGUCCUAUCUAAUAACUCAUAAGUCAUCUUCAUCGCCAAAUUAUUAGUUUAGUUGUCAAAGACAUAUUGAAGCGGUACUUAUUCAAGGUUUGGCUGAUAACUCUAGCCUACGCAUUGCAAAUAUAGUUUCCAACAAACUUCCCACCUUGCUAUUGGGAAGACUCGAGCUCAC